rnacentral:rRNA from 1 species
GAUGAACGCUGGCGGCGUGCCUAAUACAUGCAAGUCGAGCGAACAGACGAGGAGCUUGCUCCUCUGACGUUAGCGGCGGACGGGUGAGUAACACGUGGAUAACCUACCUAUAAGACUGGGAUAACUUCGGGAAACCGGAGAUAAUACCGGAUAAUAUAUUGAACCGCAUGGUUCAAUAGUGAAAGACGCUUUUGCUGUCACUUAUAGACGGAUCCGCGCCGCAUUAGCUAGUUGGUAAGGUAACGGCUUACCAAGGCAACGAUGCGUAGCCGACCUGAGAGGGUGGUCCGCCACACUGGAACUGAGACACGGUCCAGACUCCUACGGGAGGCAGCAGUGGGGAAUCUUCGACAAUGGGCGCAAGCCUGAGCGAGCCAUACCGCGUGGGUGAAGAAGGCCUUCGGGUUGUAAAGCUCUUUUGUUGGGAAAGAAAAGAAGCAGGUUAAUAUCCCGCUGUUCUGACGGUACCUAAAGAAUAAGCCCCGGCUAACUUCGUG